rnacentral:rRNA from 1 species
GCCUAACACAUGCAAGUCGAACGUGAAGGGGGMUUCGGUCCCUGGAAAGUGGCGCACGGGUGAGUAACGCGUGGAUAAUCUGCCCAGUGAUCUGGGAUAACAUCUCGAAAGGGGUSCUAAUACCGGAUAAGCCCACGGAGUCCUUGGAUUCURCGGGAAAAGGGGGGGACCUUCGGACCUUUUGUCACUGGAUGAGUCCGCGUACCAUUAGCUAGUUGGUGGGGUAAUGGCCCACCAAGGCUACGAUGGUUAGCUGGUCUGAGAGGAUGAUCAKCCACACUGGAACUGAGACACGGUCCAGACUCCUACGGGAGGCAGCAGUGGGGAAUUUUGCRCAAUGGCCGAAAGCCUGACGCAGCAACRCCGCGUGAGUGAUGAAGGCUUUCGGGUCGUAAAGCUCUGUCGGGAGGGAAGAAGUGAUUGAGGGUUAAUACCCCUUGGUCUUGACGGUACCUCCGAAGGAAGCACCGGCUAACUCCGUGCCAGCAGCCGCGGUAAUACGGAGGGUGCAAGCGUUGUUCGGAAUUAUUGGGCGUAAAGCGCGUGUAG